CUCCGCUGAGGCUCCGCCGGCCGCCAGGUAUCCGCUCAGCGCAGGGCGCGGCGGACCUGCGGGCCGUGGGAACCGCUGGGCAGUGGCAGCGAGGCCCCUCACCUGUCUCUGGGGCCCCCCGGGGACGACCGGACCCCGAUCUCUGCGCCCCGCAGGACGCGCGUUGACGGUCGCCCGUGUGCAGCGCCACCAUCCCGGCCGCUCUUCCAAUCUCGCCUUUCUCCGGGCACCUGCCGCCCCUCCCCCGCUCCCCAGACAGGCUUUGCGGAGGGGGCUCAUUCCGCCCGGGGCUGCCGGGCCCUCCGCAGGAGUUGGC
rnacentral:lncRNA from 1 species